rnacentral:lncRNA from 1 species
CGAUAGCAUGAUUGCUUGUAGUGAGGCUACUAGAGUUUGACUGAUAUAUAAACAUGACCUCGAUGAGACCUUAUAGUGGAUGUUGACGAUAGUUGAUCUAUUAUAGGAGUAGGGUAUAUAUCUAGAUAAAAUCUAUCGAUCUUGAUAGAAAGGAGUAGUUCUAUGAGAUUUGAGAGGCUGAGUCUGAGAGUCUGUAGCCACAGCAGUGUGAUUA